rnacentral:rRNA from 1 species
AUGCAUGCAGUCGAGCGUGAUCGUGGCUUCGGCCACAAUGAUAAAGCGGCAGACGGCCGAGUAACGCGUGAGUAAUCUGCCCUCCGGUGGGGUAUAACCUCGGGAAACUGAGGAUAAUCCCGCAUACGACCUGCAUCCCUUGGGGUGCAGAUGAAAGGCUUCGGUCGCCGGAGGAGGAGCUCGCGUCCUAUCAGGUUGUUGGUGGGGUAAUGGCCCACCAAGCCUAUGACGGGUAGCUGGUCUGAGAGGAUGACCAGCCAGAGGGGGACUGAGAACGGCCCCCACUCCUACGGGAGGCAGCAGCAGGGAAUCUUGGGCAAUGGGCGAAAGCCUGACCCAGCGACGUCGCGUGGGGGACGAAGGCCUUAGGGUUGUAAACCCCUUUUCCGAGGGAAGAUACAGGACGGUACCUCGGGAAUAAGCCCCGGCUAACUACGUGCCAGCAGCCGCGGUAAUACGUAGGGGGCAAGCGUUACCCGGAAUCACUGGGCGUAAAGUGCGCGUAGGCGGUUGGAUAAGUCUCUUGUGAAAGCUCCCGGCUCAACUGGGAGAGGUCAAGGGAUACUAUUCGACUUGAGGACAGCAGAGGUAAGCAGAAUUCCCGGUGUAGCGGUGGAAUGCGUAGAUAUCGGGAGGAACACCAGUGGCGAAAGCGGCUUACUGGGCUGUAGCUGACGCUGAGGCGCGAGAGCGUGGGGAGCAAACUGGAUUAGAUACCCAGGUAGUCCACGCCCUAAACGAUGGAUACUAGGUAUGGGGGGGUAUUGACCCCCUCCGUGCCGUAGCUAACGCGUUAAGUAUCCCGCCUGGGGACUACGGCCGCAAGGCUAAAACUCAAAGGAAUUGACGGGGGCCCGCACAAGCGGUGGAGCGUGUGGUUUAAUUCGAUGCUAAGCGA